rnacentral:lncRNA from 1 species
AUCCCAUAUCAAAGUUGAGAAGUAGUACCUCUAGGCUCUAACCAAGAUAUAGGAUGGUGAAAGAAAGAAGAAAUGGGAUUUGUUUAAACCCGUCCGCUAUAAAGCCAAGUGGUGAUAAUUGCUUUUUAGAGCAUGUAGAUCAGGUUUGGGGAACCUUUGGCCGUCCAUGUGGCUGUACUACAACUCCCAUCAGCCCCAGCAAGCAUUGCAACAGUUGGGAGCUGUAAUUCGACAAGUGCCAGAAAAGUUGAGAUGCAACUCAGCUUGUAUCACUCGGAGAAGCGUUUUCAUCUCGGGCUUGCCGAUCGGAAGGUCGGCGGUUCGAAUCCCAGCGACAGGGUGAGCUCCUGUUGCUCUGCCCCUGCUCCUGCCAACCUAGCAGUUUGAAAGCACGCCAGUGCAAGUAGAUAAAUAGGUACCACUGCAGCGGGAAGGUAAACAGCGUUUCCGUGUGCUCUGGCACUCGUCACAGUGUUGCUGUCGCUCCAGAAGCGGUUUAGUCUUGCUGGCCACAUGACUCGGAAAGCUGUCUGUGGACAAAUGCCGGCUCCCUCAGCCUGAAAGUGAGAUGAGCACCACAACCCCAUUGUCACCUUUGACUGGACUUAACCAUCCAGGGAUCCUUUACCUUUGAGAUAGUGCAAUCAGACUUUUUAAAAAAGAAAAAUGCUUUGUGCAUCUGCGUCUAGUCUUGCCCCUUUCUAAAAUGUAUUAAUUGGUGUGUGUUUUUCUUUUUUGUAAAUCUACCAAAGAAUGAAAUAAAAUUGGGAUUAAGGGGUUUUCUUAGUGUAGUGUGUGUGCCGUGUCCCAUUGGGGAAGUGGUGGCGGCACUUGCCCUUGUUUUGAUAGGAAAUUAUAACAAUAACAAUAAUAAAUUAUAUGCAGCCCAUCUGAUUGGGUUUCCCCAGCCACUCUGGGAGGCUCCUAACAGAAUAUUCAAAGCACGGCAAAACAUCAAACACUAAAAACUUCCCUAAACAGGGCUGCCUUCAGAUGUCCCCUAAAAGUCAGAUAGUUGUUUAUUUCCUUGACAUCUGGUGGAAGGGCAUUCCACAAGGUGGGUGCCACUACCGAGAAGGCCCUCUGCCUGGUUCCCUGUAACCUCACUUCUUGCAGGGAGGGAACUGCCAGAAGGCCCUCGGCACUGGACCUUAGUGUCCGGGCAGAACAGUGGGGGUGGAGAUGCUCCUUCAGGUAUACUGGACCGAGUCCAUUUAGGGCUUUAAAGGUCAGCACCAACACUUUGAAUUGUGCUCGGAAACGUACUGGGAGCUAAUGUAGGUCUUUCAGGACCGGUGUUAUGUGGUCCUGGCGGCCACUCCCAGUCACCAGUCUAGCUGCUGCAUUCUGGAUUAGUUGUAGUUUCCAGGUCACCUUCAAAGAUAGCCCCACAUAGAGCGCAUUGCAGUAGUCCAAGUGAGAGAUAACCAGAGCAUGCACCACUCUGGCGAGACAGUCUGUGGGCAGGUAGGGUGAUCAAAGGAGUCAGCCUCCCAUGGCUAGGCAUAGUUUUCCUUCUCAUGAACCAGAGAGCAGUGCCAAGGUAGCUCAGUACCUCUUUGUUCUCUCCGGAGACAGGGGAGCACAAGCGCUGCCGCAAUAUAGGGCAGGAUAGACGACUGUGGGGCUAUGUGGAAGGCCAUCGAAGAUGACUCAGACCAGCAGAAGGGAUAAUAAGUUGGUAGGUUUGACCUAUGCAUGUUAUUCGUUUUUGGUUUUGUUUUUUUUUUUUAAAAAAAGAGGAGGUGGGAAAAAGCAUUUUUACACCAGAUCAAUGCUUCCCUCAGCACUUUAAUGCACCCCAUUGGUGUUCUAAAACUCCAAUGAUGCAGUCUGUGAGAAGCUGUCAUUUAUUACCCACAGAUGGGGUGAUAAUUAUUGACAAGAUUGUAACUAAUAAUUAAACCCAUUUGCUCCUUUUAAACAAGUUGGUGUGAAUUAUUUUCAGGGAGUUCUGCAGCAGGGCUGUGGUCACUCUUGCCUUGUGGGUAGAAUUAUAAUUCAGGCUACCUGAUGGUGAGGCGGGGGGGGGGAGUGGAUGCUCUGGACCAAGGAGACAAUUUCCCCGACAACUCCUAGGCUGGGACCUCUUUGAACCGUUCUGUUGUGGAUUGGAAAGGCUUCCUUUUAAUGUUCUGCAUCGUGCCUAGGACAGCAAGCAGAGUGCUCAUAGAAAAUAAUGUCCAGUUGAUUAAUAGAUGAAUCAUUUCUAAUCUGCUCCUCAGAUGAAAAGGCAACCGGACCAGCUUGUGUAAGAUCAACUGGAAACAAGAGAGCGCCAGCCCACAGGGUUACAAUCCAAAAGGCACAGCACAAAAGGAAAAGGGGAUGGGUAGGGAAGAGGAAAGAAAGCAAACUUAAGUGCCAGUUCUUAAAGUUCCAUAGGACUUUUGUUGACCUGCUGGAAUGGAAAUUAUCAGCAGUAGCCCCCAUCUCUCCCUCUUCUGCAAUGGGUACUACAUUGCAGAGAUGGCUCAAAAACUUCGAGAUUAUUAUAGAUAAAUCAUCCUAGUCAAUGAAAUCUGCACUCAUUUAGUGGGGUUAAUUUUGUGUUUUCCUGUUACCUUGACUUCUACGAUGGACAGAGUGUGCAUGGUCUUGUCACUUGGCCAAAUAUUAGAAGGAAAAACAUGCAUAUUAUCACCAAACUGAAAUCUGCUCAGUGUGCUUGCAAUCUGUAUUUAACUAACACGCCCGUAUUCC